GAUGAACGCUGGCGGCGUGCCUAAUACAUGCAAGUCGAGCGAACGGACGAGAAGCUUGCUUCUCUGAUGUUAGCGGCGGGCGGGUGAGUAACACGUGGAUAACCUACCUAUAAGACUGGGAUAACUUCGGGAAACCGGAGCUAAUACCGGAUAAUAUUUUGAACCGCAUGGUUCAAAGGUGAAAGACGGUCUUGCUGUCACUUAUAGAUGGAUCCGCGCUGCAUUAGCUAGUUGGUAAGGUAACGGCUUACCAAGGCAACGAUGCAUAGCCGACCUGAGAGGGUGAUCGGCCACACUGGAACUGAGACACGGUCCAGACUCCUACGGGAGGCAGCAGUAGGGAAUCUUCCGCAAUGGGCGAAAGCCUGACGGAGCAACGCCGCGUGAGUGAUGAAGGUCUUCGGAUCGUAAAACUCUGUUAUUAGGGAAGAACAUAUGUGUAAGUAACUGUGCACAUCUUGACGGUACCUAAUCAGAAAGCCACGGCUAACUACGUG
rnacentral:rRNA from 1 species